CAGCAGCCGCGGGAAUACGUAGGUGGCAAGCGUUGUCUGGAAUUAUUGGGCGUAAAGGGCUCGCAGGCGGUUUCUUAAGUCUGAUGUGAAAGCCCCCGGCUCAACCGGGGAGGGUCAUUGGAAACUGGGAAACUUGAGUGCAGAAGAGGAGAGUGGAAUUCCACGUGUAGCGGUGAAAUGCGUAGAGAUGUGGAGGAACACCAGUGGCGAAGGCGACUCUCUGGUCUGUAACUGACGCUGAGGAGCGAAAGCGUGGGGAGCGAACAGGAUUAGAUACCCGUGUAGUCCCUGUCUCUUAUAC
rnacentral:rRNA from 1 species